rnacentral:rRNA from 1 species
GUGGGGAAUAUUGCACAAUGGGGGAAACCCUGAUGCAGCGACGCCGCGUGAGUGAAGAAGUAUUUCGGUACGUAAAGCUCUAUCAGCAAGGAAGAAAAUGACGGUACUUGACUAAGAAGCCCCGGCUAACUACGUGCCAGCAGCCGCGGUAAUACGUAGGGGGCAAGCGUUAUCCGGAUUUACUGGGUGUAAAGGGAGCGUAGACGGUAUGGUAAGUCAGAUGUGAAAGCCCGGGGCUCAACCCCGGGACUGCAUUUGAAACUAUCAGACUAGAGUGCAGGAGAGGUAAGUGGAAUUCCUAGUGUAGCGGUGAAAUGCGUAGAUAUUAGGAGGAACACCAGUGGCGAAGGCGGCUUACUGGACUGUAACUGACGUUGAGGCUCGAAAGCGUGGGGAGCAAACAGGAUUAGAAACCCUGGUAGUCC